UGGGGAAUAUUGCACAAUGGGGGAAACCCUGAUGCAGCGACGCCGCGUGAGCGAAGAAGUAUUUCGGUAUGUAAAGCUCUAUCAGCAGGGAAGAAGAAAUGACGGUACCUGACUAAGAAGCCCCGGCUAACUACGUGCCAGCAGCCGCGGUAAUACGUAGGGGCAAGCGUUAUCCGGAUUUACUGGGUGUAAAGGGAGCGUAGGCGGCAUGGCAAGUCUGAUGUGAAAACCCAGGGCUCAACCCUGGGACUGCAUUGGAAACUGUCAAGCUGGAGUGUCGGAGAGGUAAGCGGAAUUCCUAGUGUAGCGGUGAAAUGCGUAGAUAUUAGGAGGAACAC
rnacentral:rRNA from 1 species